UAACUAUUUAAUCUUACUAUACACGGAGAGAAUGUUUUCUUAGAAUUUACCCUAAAAAUAUGACAGUCGUUGGACAACAUUGUAUUUCGAAGAAUUUUAAUGUAAAUCUCUC